AAAAUUAUAGAGAUAGUAUAAAAACCUGAAGACAUGGACUCACAUACUACUUCUUUUUUCGUGGACCUGAUUUGUUGUCCUCUUCCAUCUUUCUCUUCAAGUUAGCAACUUUUUUGAAAACAGGC
rnacentral:ribozyme from 11 species